rnacentral:tRNA from 1 species
GGACCUGUAGUAUAGCUUGGAUAGCAUUGGAGCCUCCGGAGCUCUCGACCCGGGUUCAAAUCCCGGCAGGUCCG